rnacentral:rRNA from 1 species
GACGAACGCUGGCGGCGUGCCUAACACAUGCAAGUCGAGCGGGGAUUGCCGAAUGAAGUUUUCGGAUGGAUUUUGGUAAUUCUAGCGGCGGACGGGUGAGUAACGCGUGAGCAACCUGCCUAUCACUGGGGAAUAACGCAUCGAAAGGUGUGCUAAUACCGCAUGAGACCACAAUGGGACAUCCCGUAGGGGUCAAAGAUUUAUCGGUGAUAGAUGGGCUCGCGUCUGAUUAGCUAGUUGGUGAGGUAACGGCCCACCAAGGCGACGAUCAGUAGCCGACCUGAGAGGGUGAUCGGCCACAUUGGAACUGAGAAACGGUCCAAAACUCCUACGGGAGGCAGCAGUGGGGAAUAUUGGGGCAAAUGGGGGCGAACCCUGACCCACGCAACGCCGCGUGAAGGAAGAAGGCUUCGGUGUAACGUACUGUNUUACGGUAAGAAGACAGUGACGGUACC